rnacentral:rRNA from 1 species
CCUACGGGUGACAGCAGUAGGGAAUAUUGCUCAAUGGGGGAAACCCUGAAGCAGCAACGCCGCGUGGAGGAUGAAGGUUUUCGGAUCGUAAACUCCUGUUGUUAGAGAAGAUAAUGACGGUAUCUAACGAAUAAGCACCGGCUAACUCCGUGCCAGCAGCCGCGGUAAUACGGAGGGUGCAAGCGUUACUCGGAAUCACUGGGCGUAAAGAGCGCGGAGGCGGGAUAGCAAGUCAGAUGUGAAAUCCUAUGGCUCAACCAUAGAACUGCAUUUGAAACUGUUAUUCUAGAGUAUGGGAGAGGGAAGUGGAAUUCUUGGUGUAGGGGUAAAAUCCGGAGAGAUCAGGAGGAAUACUCAUUGCGAAGGCGACCUGCUAGAACAUAACUGACGCUGAUGCGCGAAAGCGUGGGGAGCAAACAGGAUUAGAUACCCGAGUAGUC